rnacentral:lncRNA from 1 species
GGGGCACAGAGGCAAGGGAGGGUAGCCUACCAGGGCUGGGGAGCAGGGACUUGAACAACCUUUAGAUGGAGGAGGAUACCUUAUAAAGGUCUCUUUUAUGGGGCUCUUCUCUUACUCUACUCACCUCUUGUCUUCAUCUCCCACUUGGUCUAGUUGGGAGUGGGGAGAGCAUAUUUUGCAUUGGGACCACCAAGCCUUGAAACAGUAGGCCAGGCACUGCUCUCCCCACAAACUACAGAGAGAGAGAGAGAGAGAGUUCCCAGUCAUGUGAGGGGAAGGACUGGGGCUUCAGAUGACUUCAUCCAAAGAUCCUCAGCCCAGUGAAGAGGUGCCAUGGGGAGGAUAUGGAGAGGAUCCAGUCCAGCCUGGAGGCUUUUAGGAAGAGAUUCAUUGAGAGAUGCCAGGGGUGGAGUUUCGAAGGGAGGAGGUGAAGUGGUACCAGGCUUUCCUCUGACAUCACCUGACUGAGUCUCAGGGAGGGGCUGGGCAGCUUGCAGGACACAAAUAGCCCUGUGGACCCUGCUGGUCCCAAAGCGCUCCCAGCCUCCUUCAGCCCAGAGCCUCAGGAGCCAACCAUCACCACCAUGAGACCUUUCCUUGUUGCCUUCCUUCUGGUCACCCUGGCUGCUUGCUCCUAUGAAGCUGAUUCUGCUGAGUUUCUCCUGAAGGAUACGGAAAAUCCGGAAGAUGCCGAGGAGGAGCUUUUAUCUGAACUUAUACAUUCUUCAUGCCACCAAAACACAGAUGAAAAAAUGGAGCCAGUCCUUCAAAUGGCUAAGGUAAGAAUGUUCAUACAUGACUAUCAUACAGUGCCUAGUAAGCCCCUCCCCAGUCCCCAGGCACAAAUGACCAGGGAUCCUGUCACAGACCGUGUUAAUUCCCAUCUCCCUCCUCCAGAUGAGUGGGUGGCACUAGGUUCCCCUCCCUGGGUCAGAAAUAUGAUUUAGCUUGGGUGAACCAGGAUGUCUUCCUUCCCAUGCUGAGAUGAUUGAGGAUACUGUCUUCCCCCAGGCUGGGAUACAAAGCUCUUCUCCCCCUCUCUGGCCUGGAUCUGGCCUUGGGUCCUCCUGACUCUAAAUACAAAGAGCAGUCUGCCUUCCUGGAGUCUGUGCAUUCUCUUGGCUCCUCAUCCAUCACCAAUGUUAGGGAUGACUCUCUGGUGACUUCCAGGAUUUCAGGCUAUUUGUGUUCAGGCUCUGGUCCAUUUUUCUUCCUCUCCUUAAACAUGCUUGUGCUAGAGCUGAAUCCUACAAGUAAAUCCCUUCCCAAUCACUGACUAAUAGCCAAGAAAAAACUGCUAGAAGUGGGGAGGGAGAAACUGUCCUGACCUAGUGCGCCCAGGAAAAGCAGGGCCACGUUAACUCUCUCUCCGUUUCAGGAAGCAAAGGAUCUCGACAAGAAAUAUAAAAGCAAGUGGGGACAGCAAGCUCCUGCUAUCUCAAGAUGGAACUAGCCUUCUGGAUUUCCUGUUCCUCUUGUCAGCCAAGAGCCCAAUUCCUGUAGAAUGUAGUGAGAGAAACAGCCUGUGAUCCUGAGGUCCUGUUUCAAAGCUUCCCUUCAAUAAAUCAAAUGCAAAGCAAUUCUGGGUGUGUCCC